CUUACAAGUCUCUUAAGACACCCCUUUCUUCACGUGUAAGAGAAAACGGGAAGGACGUAAAUAAAAGAAAAUGGGAUAUAACGCAAAAAUAAAUAAAGAUAUAAAAUGAAAAUAGAAAAUGACGUUGCAUAGAUAUUGGAUUUCCGAGAAGGAGGUUAAUAAAGGCAAAUGGAAUGAAUGGAAUGAAUGUCGCAAAAAGAAAAAGAGAAAUGGAUAUAAAUAUGACGUUGCCGAGACAUUAAUUUCAAACACGGAGGUAUAUAAAAGAAAACGGGAUGUGCGACGCAAUAAAAGAAAGUAAAGGGAGGAUGAAAAUAGAAAACAAAUAACGUUGCCGAGAUUUGAAUUUCUAACGCGCUGGUAAAUAAAAGAAAAUGGGAUGUACGACACAAUAAAAUAUAAUAAAAGGAAAACGGAAAUAGGAAAAAAAUGACCUAGCCGAGACAUUAGAUUUCAAACGCUGAGGUAAAGAAAACAGGAUGUAAGACGCGGAAAAAUAAAGGAAAGAAAAGGAAAACGGAGAUAGUAAUAAAAUAACGUUGUCGAGACAAUAGAUUUCAAACGCAGAGGUAAAUAAAAGAAAACGGGAUGUACGACGCAAUAAAAGAAAGAAAAGGAAAACGGAAAUUAAUAAAAAAUGACGUUGCCGAGACAUCAAUUUCUAACGCGCAGAUAAAUUAAAGAAAACGGGAUACAUAACGCAAAACCAAAAGAAAACGGGGACAAAAUAGAUGACACGAAGGUAACUCAAAGAAAAUAUAGCGAGGAAUGAAAUAUAUAUAGCAAAUGAAUGAAAAAGAAAACGGAUAGAAAAUAAAUAACGUUUUAACACGCAGAUAAAUAUAAGAAAAUGGGAUAUAUAACGAAAAAAGAAAGAAAACGGAGGCAGAAUAGAUGGCACAGAGGUAACUCAAAGAAAAUACAUAGAGAAAGGAUAUAUUUAUAAGUCAAACCAAAAACAAAAAAAAAGAAAGGGGAGACAGAAAAUAAACAACGAUGAUUAGAUAUUAAAUUUUCUAACACGGAGGUAAAAUAAAGAAAAUGGGAUGUGUAACGCAGAAAGAAAGAAGAAUACUGAUUGAAAAUAAGUAACGAUGACUAUAUAUUAGAUUUCUAUAAGAUUUCUAACACGGAGGUAAGAUAAAGAAAAUGGGAUGUGUAACGCAGAAAGACAGAAGAAAAAAACUGAUAGAAAAUAUAUGACAAUGACUAGAUAUUACAUUUCUUAGACGCAAAUUAUUCAGCAAACUUUGAGAGGGUUAGCCAUGACGUCACCGCUACUCCGGGAUGAAGCAUUGCCGACCUUCACGCCUGAUUGGCCGGGACGUGCGGACUGAUAGCCAAUCGCGGACCAGGACGGCGCUCAAGGGUGGCGUGUGGCGAGGGUGACGUCAUCGAAGUUUGUUUAUUUGCGCGAAGUUAAAACGAAAAAACGAAGUAAUGCGUUUUUUUUUCUGUAUGAGAAGGGAGAUUUAGGUAAGAUAGGAAAAGUUGGGUGCAUGUUAUUUACAGCUGCGCGUUGCUUCGGUGCUCAUCUCAGUAACAUUAGGGUAAAUUAGACUAGGGAGAUUUAAGUGAGAUACGUAAAGUUGGGUACAUACGUUAUUUACAGCUGCGCGUUGCUCCGGUGCUCGUCUCAGUAACAUUAGGGUAACAAAAUCAGACUGCUACUACUACUGCUAUUAAUAUUAGUACGACUUUUUUUUUUAGUGUAAAGGAAACAGCUCAAGGGGAAAAAAAGUAAGAGAAAAUAAACUGCCAAACACUGACCCUAUAUGAGUUCAGAAGAGUGGCCAAAAGAGAGGUCAAUUUCGGGAGGAGAGGAGUCUUGAUAAUCUACUUUUCUACUAACUACUACUACCACUACUACUACUACUGCUCAUGCUACAGUCACUACUCUAAUAACGAUAACAAUAAUGCUGAUGAUAAUGAUAAUAAUAAUGAGCGACUUCCUUAUCUUGGUCGCUGUAAGAUUUUUGUUGUUUUAUGAUGAAGAUGACAAAUGACGGUCGACCUGAAGGGAAGAAAAAACUUGGGCGCGCCGAGGCAAACUUAGAAUGAUCGAUGGGGAAGAGAUUAUACCGCGGGACGGAUAUUAAGAAAAGGAGGAUAAAACUUUAAAAAAAAUGUAAAAGGGCAAUGAUAAAGGUGUAUGUAAACUAAUAUAGAUAGAUAGAUUGAUUGAUAGAUAAUAAGAAUUGAUUGUAGAAAAGUGAAAAUGGUAAGAAAAGGAGGAUAAAACUUUAAAGAAAUGCAAAAAGGGCGAUGAUAAAGGUGUAUGUAAACUAAUAUAGAUAGAUAGAUAGAUUGAGUGAUAGAUAGAUAGAACUGAAGGUGGGACAAAAGAAUACAAAGAAAAGAAUGAAAAGGGAGGAGAAAAUACAGAAGCUAAAGAUGGAACAGAAGAAAACAGAGAAAAAGAAUGAAAAGGGAGGAGAAAAUGCAAUAGAUAACGGAGAGAAAAAAAAAUACAAAGAAAAAGUAUGAACAGGGAAGAGAAAAAACAGCAGACAAGAGAAGAAAAAAAGAAUACAAUGAAGAUUAAUUAAAAAGGAGGAGAAAAAACAAUAACCAAAGGAAACAGAAGCACAACAGUAAAGAAGAAGGAAAAAGAGAAAGCAAGAAAACAAACUGAUAAAGAAAUAUAUAGAAAAAAGAGAUUAACUUAGAGAAAAAUAAACGUUAAAAAAAUAAGUAAGAGAGAAAUGAGAAAAUAACAAAAGGAGAAAGAAGCACAACAUUGAAGAAGGAAAAAAUAGAAAACAAGAAAACAGAAGGUGAUGAAGAAAUAUAUAGAAAAAAGAGA